GACCGCGUAGCUCAGUUGGCAGAGCAUUGGGCUAGUAUUCCAACGGUCGUAGGUUCGAUUCCCACCGUGGCCG
rnacentral:tRNA from 1 species